rnacentral:rRNA from 1 species
GUAUUUUGACUGUGCUAAGGUAGCAUAAUCAUUAGUUUUUUAAUUGAAAGCUGGAAUGAAAGGUUUGAUGAAAAAAUAGCUGUCUCAGCUUAAAAGUUUUGAAUUUUAUUUUUAAGUUAAAAAGCUUAAAUUUUUAUAAAAGACGAGAAGACCCUAUAGAGUUUAAUAUUUCUUUUUUAAGUAAAAUAUGGGAAUUUAAUUUUGUUUAAAAUGUAGGGGUAUUUAAUUGGGGUGAUUGAAAAAUUUAAUUAACUUUUUUUGUUUUAUUUCAUAAAUAAGUGGAAAAAAUGAUCCUUUUUAAAAGAUUAAAAGAAAAAUUACCUUAGGGAUAACAGCGUAAUUUUUUCUUAGAGU